CUGCUGCCUCCCGUAGGAGUCUGGUCCGUGUCUCAGUACCAGUGUGGGGGACCUUCCUCUCAGAACCCCUACGCAUCGUCGUCUUGGUGGUCCGUUACACCGCCAACUAACUAAUGCGACGUCAUGCCCAUCCGCCACCGGAAUUAACCUUUGGCACCAACAGGAUGUCCCGUCGAUGCAUUAUGCCGUAUUAGACGGAAUUUCUCCCGAUUAUCCGGCUGUGGCAGGCAGGUUGCAUACGUGUUACUCA
rnacentral:rRNA from 1 species